AUGGCUCGUGGCGAUUAUCAAAACGAUGAUGAUGAUUUCAUGGAUCCACCACAGCAUAAUCGGGCAACUGGACGGAGAAAAGAGGAUGAUGAGAAGAAGAAACGUAUUCGCAACAGAGCCUCCCAAGAACGACUGACUACGUUGACUGACAAACUCACCGACGAUCAGAAGGGGGCUGCUGCUGAGAUGGGUAUGCAGUCUAUGAUGGAUGUCCGGUGCACGAACCUUGUCAACCCUGUAUGUGACUGGCUUGGUGAGAUCUACGACCCCGCCUCCAGGGAAUUCGUGAUUUCGAGAGGUGGAAGACUACCGUUGAACGAGGAAUCCGUGUUCUGCACUUUGGGUGUGCCUCGUGGACAUAUGAAAGUCCCGUACGAGGCCAUGACGACGCAUGGAGAUGUUUUCAAUAUGAAGCUACUCAUGUACCUCAUCUCAGCUGUUUUCACGCCGACCACCUCUCUUCGCCCAAGCAACAAAUGCUUCCCCAUUCUGGCGGAUCUGGGAAAUGUGAAGAACAUGAAUUGGUGUAAGUUUAUUGCCGACUUCCUGCACGAUGCAUUCUCAAGCAAGAUGUACCAAAAGGGUUGUUGA
rnacentral:rRNA from 1 species